rnacentral:rRNA from 1 species
GAUGAACGCUGGCGGCGUGCCUAAUACAUGCAAGUAGAACGCUGAAGGAGGAGCUUGCUCUUCUGGAUGAGUUGCGAACGGGUGAGUAACGCGUAGGUAACCUGCCUGGUAGCGGGGGAUAACUAUUGGAAACGAUAGCUAAUACCGCAUGACAACAGUUAUUGCAUGAUAACUGUUUAAAAGGGGCAACUGCUCCACUACCAGAUGGACCUGCGUUGUAUUAGCUAGUUGGUGAGGUAACGGCUCACCAAGGCGACGAUACAUAGCCGACCUGAGAGGGGGGUCAGCCAAACUGGGACUGGGACACGGCCCAGACUCCUACGGGAGGCAGCAGUAGGGAAUCUUCGGCAAUGGACGGAAGUCUGACCGAGCAACGCCGCGUGAGUGAAGAAGGUUUUCGGAUCGUAAAGCUCUGUUGUAAGAGAAGAACGAGUGUGAGAGUGGAAAGUUCACACUGUGACGGUAUCUUACCAGAAAGGGACGGCUAACUACGUG